rnacentral:rRNA from 1 species
UACAGAGGGCGCGAGCGUUAAUCGGAAUUACUGGGCGUAAAGCGCGCGUAGGCGGCUUUGCAAGUCGAGUGUGAAAUCCCCAGGCUUAACCUGGGAACUGCAUUCGAGACUGCAUAGCUAGAGUAUGGGAGAGGGAAGUGGAAUUUCAGGUGUAGCGGUGAAAUGCGUAGAUAUCUGAAGGAACAUCAGUGGCGAAAGCGACUUCCUGGACCAAUACUGACGCUCAUGUGCGAAAGCGUGGGGAGCAAACAGG